AUUGAACGCUGGCGGCAGGCCUAAUACAUGCAAGUCGAGCGAGCGGCGGACGGGUGAGUAAUGCCUGGGAAACUGCCUGAUGGAGGGGGAUAACCACUGGAAACGGUAGCUAAUACCGCAUACUAUUAGAUCUGCUCAGAUGGUCUUAGCUGGUAGGUGAGGUAACGGCUCACCUAGGCAACGAUCCCUAGCUGGUCUGAGAGGAUGAUCAGCCACACUGGAACUGAGACACGGUCCAGACUCCUACGGGAGGCAGCAGUGGGGAAUAUUGCGCAAUGGGCGAAAGCCUGAUGCAGCAAUGCCGCGUGUGUGAAGAAGGCCUUCGGGUUGUAAAGCACUUUCAGCGGGGAGGCGUUACCCGCAGAGAAAGCACCGGCUAACUCCGUGCCAGCAGCCGCGGUAAUUC
rnacentral:rRNA from 1 species